rnacentral:lncRNA from 1 species
UAGGACCCUGUUAAAUACCCUUGCCUGCACGCUGCGCGAUCCUUUCCGUUCUGAGGACGCUGCAGUGCCUCAGGUAGCUGUGAAUGCUCUGUGCUGUAUUUGUUACAUCUCAAUUAUAUUAUGUACGCUAAAACACAGUUUAGUGUUUUAUAUUUAUAUUUGCUUAAAACGCCGAUGUGGCUUGUCGUUAACGCUAAUUCAAGACCUGCAAAGUGACACCGCAGCGCUUCUGGCCUCGCCUUUAGUCAGAGAGCAACAUGUUUAAUCCAGUGCGACUUGAUGCUAUUGCGUUAAUCGUGUUGCAGAUCAUAUCUACUUGAACUGAACAAUGAUGUGCUGAAGUUGCAGCAGUUUCCCAGUAAGUAUGAGACCACAGCGGGUUUAUUUUCCUUCAGAAACGGGUCUGGGGACCCUCAGGCCGCAAAAACAGGAAAAUAAGCUUAUGAAUGUCGGUGGAAAGUAAAUAAAAUCAUCUAAAAUGUAGUAAAUGCGUUCAAUUAAAAUAAUAAAUUAAAAUUGAUUUAAAUAAUUGCUUUUACAGUACUAUAGUAGUGAGUAAAACAAAAGAAAUGUUGCAAGAUAUUUCCCAUUUCUGAUAAUUUCCUCAGUAUAAAUAGUUUUUACAUAUAAAUAUAUAGCUGCCUUUUAAACUUUAGGAUGGUAGUCCCUCUGAACCCAUUUGUGGUUCUGUGACACUUAAAGAUUGAAAACCCCUGUUGUCCGUUAUUGUGUGUGAUGAUGAAUCAUUAGACUAGAGUCUCUGAUUUACUCGUGAAGAUCUUCACAGUGCACUGAACACAUGCUCUACAGCUUAUGACUGGUUUGCAGUGGCUUGGAUGUCUCUAAAUGUUCAUUUCCACAGAUUUGGUGGGAGGAACGGACGUUGCCAGGUAUCUGAUGUCAACCACUUACAACCAAUAGGUGGGCGGAACAAACUUUGCCAGGUAUCCGAUGUCAACCGCUUACAACCAAUAGGUUGGAUUCCAGCAGAAUGGUUGAUCGCUACAGUUGAUGACUACUGGGUUUUCAGCAAAGGGUUUGAAGCCAAUAUGGACGUUGUCUCUAGCCCAUGA